GGGGAUAUGGCGGAAUUGGUAGACGCUGCGGACUUAAAAUCCGUUGGUUCUAAUAAAACCGUAAGGGUUCAAGUCCCUUUUUCCCCA
rnacentral:tRNA from 1 species